rnacentral:lncRNA from 1 species
UGUGUUCCUUUUCAUUUUUUCUUGAAGUAGUUGUCUCCAAUAGAUAUACCAUUGUUAUGGGGAUAUGACCCUUUGAGGAUCUCCAAAUACAUGAAAAAACUUCAAAAAGUAUUGAAACACCCUGUCAGAUACAUACUGAUAUCCGACACUCAUAUCUAAGUCUGAGUAACAUAGCUAGCUGAUAUUGAUAAUAUGCACCACCUUCCUCUCUAACUUGAUUUGUUAAUUCUUUCCUAAAACUGGUCAGCUGUUUCUGCUGGUUAGCUGUUCGAUUCUAUUACAAUCAAGCAACAUUUGAAUGCACUUGGAAUAUCCUUAAAGGAAACAUUUCUUUAUUUGAUAUUGGGUGCAGUAUGUUUCAUAAGGCUUAGCAACACCCUUAAGUUUAGCAUGAAAAGUGUCAUCUUUGAUGUUAUUUCUUAUAGUCAAGCAUCAGAGAUCAGAUCUUAUUUGGAAACACAUUUAUAGUAGUAUUACCAUAUCUAUUUGUCAUCAAUGUAUCAAGAACACCACCCGAUGUUACUGUCAUAACCUCUGUUUGACAUGUGGUUAUUACCAUCAACUCCUUUGCCAAACUAAUUUUCUUCAUUGUGAAUGAUUGAUGGGUUACUACCCUGUUUAGACAUGAUAAGAUGUCUUUGAUCUCUAUCCAUAUAUUGUAAGCAUCUCAAAAAAACUCUACUCAUUCAACUUCAUUGCUAACUUUUAAGCUUGCUUUUUGAUCUUAGCCAUUUACCUCUUUUUCCCGUCAUGAUGUCUGCUUUACAAAGCUAACUUUCCCCAUGAUGAGAAGUGAGAUUGCUAAGGAUAUUUAGUUUAACUGGACCCAGUUUUAUGCCAGUGAUGAUGAAUACAUGGUCUGAGCAUGCCAUGCUGGUGCAGAAUCUGCUAAAAACUUGCUAGUUUGAUUUUUGUUUAUGCAAUUCAUACCGACUAGCAGAGCAAACUGCUGUAAGUUGUUUUGCACUUCAUCCUAUACUUUCCAUGUAUUUUUGCCAUUUCAGGCGUGUUUUAGCCAUUGAUCUCUAUUCGUAAGUUAUAGCAAUGAAAAACACUUGAAUUGGUGUUAUCCCGUAUGAACGGUUGAAUAUUCCUGACUGAUCUUUCUCCCCCCCCCCCUUUCCCUCCGCGCCCCAAAAGUGUAUAUGCUUAUUUUGCUACUGGUGUUCGGAUCAAAUGAUAUGAGAUGAGGAGUGACAACUAGUAAGCUUUUAAAUGUAUGUUCUUUCUGAUGAAAAGCAAAAAGAUGUGUUACACAUUUCAUGCAUAAUAGCAGUUUUUUCCUGCCCUUCGCUGCUGUCCAAAUGUUACAUAUGAGUAUCACGCGUAUAUGCAACUUUUACAAAUUUGAGAUCUUAGGAAGAAAAUAUAUGGUAGUUUUAACCCCUGUUUUGUCCAGGACUUUGCAAGAAAUCAUGCCCUGUAUCGCCUGACAACUUCCAAGUACAUAAUCAAUUUGUCUGCUACAAACAAGUUAAACAAGGGCAGAGUGGGUUACCAUGUCGAUUGUUGGUAUUUACGUACUAACAGUAACAAAAUCGCCUAUGAAAAUAGGUGCAAAGUUGUGUUCUUUAAAAGUGUGCACCCUUUUGCCUUAAUUUCUGGUUAAAAGUUGUAAAGUUCAAAGGCCAAUGCCCUAUCUUUCUCACCAUAAAAGGGGAUGCCUGCAGUGCUAGACAAUCAAGGAAUUAAAGAAGUCCUGGGAUAUGGAUGUAUGGAAGUUAAUCUUGGUUGUGUUUAGGUUGGCAAUGGCUUUUAAGCUGGCCAAGAGUUUGAAUUACCGUGAGAGUAUUUAGCCUCUGAAGAGAGUCUUUGGGAUUUGUACGAGAGAUGGAGGAGCCACCAUACGAUCUCACUUGACCUGACAGAGAAGCAAAAGCGUUUCAAUGUGUUCCAAGGAGAAUCUGAAACAUAUCCACAACGUGAACCAAAUGGAAAAGCCUUACAAGUUCGAACCUGAACAAAUUUGCAGAUAUGACAAACCAUGAGUUCAUGAGUACAAGGAGCUCCAAGAUCAGCCGUUACCUGAUGUUACAUGGUCCAAGACGGAUGACUGGUUUCCGGCUUGACAAAGUUGACAGCAUUCCUCAUUCCAUUGAUUGGAGAAAGAAAGGAGCGGUUACUGGCAUCAGGGACAGUUUUUUUUGGAUCCAACAGUCAAUUUACAAAUAAACUUAACUAUAAUAAUUAUCAAGAUAUCGUGCAGUUCGUCACAAAUGACAUGUUCCUGUGAAGUAACUCGAGGUUAUUGAUGUCACAGGUAGCUGCUUUGCAUUUUCAACUGUAGUUGCAGUAGAAGGUAUAAACAAAAUGAAAACAGGGGAGCUUGUGACUUUAUCUGAACAAAAGCUAGUUGAUUGUGGUUAGGAGAACUAAGGUAGUGAUGGAGGAUUGAUGGAACCAGCAUUUGAGCUCAUCAAGCAAAGUGAUGGACUAACUACUGAGAAUAACUACCCUUACGAGGCCAAAGACGAGUCGUGUGACUCAUCCAGGGUAACAAAAGAAACUCGAUUUUUUUACCCCUUCUU